rnacentral:rRNA from 1 species
GACGAACGCUGGCGGCGUGCCUAAUACAUGCAAGUUGAGCGCUGAAGGUUGGUACUUGUACCAACUGGGUGAGCAGCGCACGGGUGAGUAACGCGUGUGACUCUGCCUUUGAGCGGGGGACAACAUUUGGAAACGAAUGCUAAUACCGCAUAAAAACUUUAAACACAAGUUUUAAGUUUGAAAGAUGCAAUUGCAUCACUCAAAGAUGAUCCCGCGUUGUAUUAGCUAGUUGGUGAGGUAAAGGCUCACCAAGGCGAUGAUACAUAGCCGACCGGAGAGGGCGGGUGGCCACAUUGGGACUGUGACCCGGCCCAAUCUCCUACGGGAGGCGGCCGUAGGGAAUCGUCGGCCAUGGACGAAAGUCUGACCGAGCUACGCCGCGUGAGUGAGGAAGGUUUUCGGAUCGGAAAUCUCUGUUGGUAGAGAGGAACGUGGGUGAGAGUGGAAAGCUCAUCAAGUGACGGUAACUACCCAGAAAGGGACGGCUAACUACGUG